rnacentral:rRNA from 1 species
CAUUUAAAGUGGUACGCGAGCUGGGUUUAGAACGUCGUGAGACAGUUCGGUCCCUAUCUGCCGUGGGCGCUGGAGAAUUGAGGGGGGCUGCUCCUAGUACGAGAGGACCGGAGUGGACGCAUCACUGGUGUUCGGGUUGUCAUGCCAAUGGCACUGCCCGGUAGCUAAAUGCGGAAGAGAUAAGUGCUGAAAGCAUCUAAGCACGAAACUUGCCCCGAGAUGAGUUCUCCCUGACUCCUUGAGAGUCCUGAAGGAACGUUGAAGACGACGACGUUGAUAGGCCGGGUGUGUAAGCGCAGCGAUGCGUUGAGCUAACCGGUACUAAUGAACCGUGAGGCUUAACCUUACAACGCCGAAG